AACCUCCGCAAUGUGAGAAAUCGCGACGGGGGGAUCCCAAGUGCCAUUCUUAACGGGAUGGCUUUUCUUAAGUGUAAAAAGCUUUUGGAAUAAGAGCUGGGCAAGACCGGUGCCAGCCGCCGCGGUAACACCGGCAGCUCUAGUGGUAGCUGUUUUUAUUGGGCCUAAAGCGUUCGUAGCCGGUUUGAUAAGUCACUGGUGAAAUCCUGUAGCUUAACUGUGGGAAUUGCUGGUGAUACUGUUGAACUUGAGGUCGGGAGAGGUUAGCGGUACUCCCAGGGUAGAGGUGAAAUUCUGUAAUCCUGGGAGGACCACCUGUGGCGAAGGCGGCUAACUGGAACGAACCUGACGGUGAGGGACGAAAGUUAGGGGCGCGAACCGGAUUAGAUACCCGGGUAGUCCUAACUGUAAACGAUGCGGACUUGGUGUUGGGGUGGCUUUGAGCUGCUCCAGUGCCGAAGGGAAGCUGUUAAGUCCGCCGCCUGGGAAGUACGGUCGCAAGACUGAAACUUAAAGGAAUU
rnacentral:rRNA from 1 species